rnacentral:rRNA from 1 species
UACGUAGGGGGCUAGCGUUGUCCGGAAUCAUUGGGCGUAAAGCGCGUGUAGGCGGUUCGGUAAGUCCGCUGUGAAAGUCGGGGGCUCAACCCUCGGAUGCCGGUGGAAACUGUCGGACUAGAGUACGGAAGAGGCGAGUGGAAUUCCUGGUGUAGCGGUGAAAUGCGCAGAUAUCAGGAGGAACACCGAUGGCGAAGGCAGUGUCUGGGCCAGUACUGACGUGAGGAGCGAAAGCGUGGGGAGCAAACAGG